rnacentral:pre_miRNA from 1 species
AUUGCCUGGGAAUCUUGGUAAAAUGCAGAUUAUUAUUCAGUAAGUCUGAGUUUGGGUCUGAGAGUCUGCAUUUCUAGCAAGCUCCCAGGUAAUGCUGG